CGUUCUUGUACUUCUUAUCUCUCAAUGCGGCUUAAACAUGUGUCACAUGCCAACGAAAAUAAUAAUAUACUCGCUAGACAGUCAUUUAUUUUGGCUAAUCAAGCGUUAUUUAUUGCUUGGAUAUUCACAAAUACCCGAGCCUCAAACAUAAAUAAUGAAAUCGAAAUAACAACAUCAGCAUUAACACUGACCGUUCCUACAGCAAGCGGCAAAAGACUUGAUGGUUGGCACCUGAGGUAUCAAGUUCGAAUCCUAAUUAAUUCACAUUUCCAACUAAGUUUAUUUCUAAAUAAAAUAAACGAAGCGGAUAGUGUACUAUCUAUCUCUUAAAAAAAAAAAAAAAAACAACAACAACAACAGAUCGGCCACCCCGGCCAUUCUUAGCACAAGUGGCAAAGAAUUUGAUGGUUGAUACUUAGAUCUCAAAUUCAAAUCCUAAUUGUUUCAUAUUUUUAACUAAAUUUUUUUCUAAAUAAAAUAAAUAGAACGCCUAUCUCUUUAAAAAACAACAACAACAACAACAGC
rnacentral:lncRNA from 1 species